rnacentral:misc_RNA from 1 species
GCGAGUAUGGCCCUCACGGGUCUAAUCCACCACAAACACCUUUGUGAACCAGUCGGGGGGACUCGGCCGUGAAAGCCCAGGCGAUUAGCGGAAGGGCCCUCCUUUGCAAACCCGUUUAGAAGUCUUGAAAGUACUUUUGUAUAAUCUAGUA